GCUGGAGUAGCUCAACGGUAGAGCAGCUGAUUUGUAAUCAGCAGGCUGCGGGUUCAAAUCCCAUCUCCAGCUCCA
rnacentral:tRNA from 1 species